GACUUCUUUCUGGAUAACAUGGCUAGAUGGCUCACAAACAAAAGUUGUCCUGCUCUACCUGAAAGUCUGAGUGAACUGUAUUCCAUUAAAGGACAAAUUUUGCAGUCUUGAGCAGACUCAGCUACUUCAGACUGCACUACUUGGUUGUCCUGCAGAGCUAGCAAAGCUAAGGGUGUCCUUCUCCUUGUGCAUCAUCCAUGCAACUGACAUUUAAGAAUCUUCAUCCUUUUCCUUGAUGACAGCGUGUGGCCAACAUAUCAUUCUAAGUUUCAUCUAUCAGUGACCUCCCAGACAACCAUUCUGCAUCCAUGUUACAGAGAGAUUUAUCCCACCAGGCCACAAGAGGGAGAUGUGUGACUCCUGCUGCC